AGAAAAGCAUCGACGCGAGGUUUUAGUCACCCGUACCCCAAACCGACUCAGGUGAUCAGGUAGAGAAUACUAAGGAGAUCGAGAGAAUCGUGGUUAAGGAACUCGGCAAAAUGCCCCCGUAACUUCGGGAGAAGGGGGGCCUGAGGCGUGAACGGACUUGCUCCGGGAGCGUUCGAAGGCCGCAGAGACCAGUGGGAAGCGACUGUUUACUAAAAACACAGGUCCGUGCUAAGUCGCAAGACGAUGUAUACGGACUGACGCCUGCCCGGUGCUGGAAGGUUAAGAGGAACGGUUAGCCGCAAGGCGAAGCUGAGAAUUUAAGCCCCAGUAAACGGCGGUGGUAACUAUAACCAUCCUAAGGUAGCGAAAUUCCUUGUCGGGUAAGUUCCGACCUGCACGAAUGGCGUAACGACUUCCCAGCUGUCUCAACCGCGAACUCGGCGAAAUUGCAUUACGAGUAAAGAUGCUCGUUACGCGCAGCAGGACGGAAAGACCCCGUGACCUUUACUACAGCUUGGUAUUGGUGUUCGGUGUGGCUUGUGUAGGAUAGGUGGGAGACUGUGAAGCUUGGACGCUAGUUCAGGUGGAGUCAUUGUUGAAAUACCACUCUGGUCAUAUUGGAUACCUAACUUCGAACCGUGAUCCGGUUCAGGGACAGUGCCUGGUGGGUAGUUUAACUGGGGCGGUUGCCUCCUAAAAAGUAACGGAGGCGCCCAAAGGUUCCCUCAACCUGGUUGGUAAUCAGGUGUCGAGUGUAAGUGCACAAGGGAGCUUGACUGUAAGACUGACAAGUCGAGCAGGGACGAAAGUCGGGACUAGUGAUCCGGCAGUGGCUUGUGGAAGCGCUGUCGCUCAACGGAUAAAAGGUACCUCGGGGAUAACAGGCUGAUCUUGCCCAAGAGUCCAUAUCGACGGCAUGGUUUGGCACCUCGAUGUCGGCUCGUCGCAUCCUGGGGCUGGAGUAGGUCCCAAGGGUUGGGCUGUUCGCCCAUUAAAGCGGUACGCGAGCUGGGUUUAGAACGUCGUGAGACAGUUCGGUCCCUAUCCGCUGCGCGCGCAGGAAAUUUGAGAAGAUCUAUCCCUAGUACGAGAGGACCGGGAUGGACGAACCUCUGGUGUGUCAGUUGUUCCGCCAGGAGCACCGCUGAUUAGCUACGUUCGGAACGGAUAACCGCUGAAAGCAUCUAAGCGGGAAGCCGGCUUCGAGAUGAGAUUUCCAUCCCUUCGGGGGAGAGGCUCGCAGCUAGACUACUGCGUUGAUAGGCCGGAUGUGGAAGUGGGGACUAAAGACCCAUGAAGCUGACCGGUACUAAUAAGCCGAUAAUUUGAUAACAC
rnacentral:rRNA from 1 species